GAUGAACGCUGGCGGCGUGCCUAAUACAUGCAAGUAGAACGCUGAAGGAGGAGCUUGCUCUUCUGGAUGAGUUGCGAACGGGUGAGUAACGCGUAGGUAACCUGCCUGGUAGCGGGGGAUAACUAUUGGAAGCGAUAGCUAAUACCGCAUGACAACAGUUAUUGCAUGAUAACUGUUUAAAAGGGGCAACUGCUCCACUACCAGAUGGACCUGCGUUGUAUUAGCUAGUUGGUGAGGUAACGGCUCACCAAGGCGACGAUACAUAGCCGACCUGAGAGGGUGAUCGGCCACACUGGGACUGAGACACGGCCCAGACUCCUACGGGAGGCAGCAGUAGGGAAUCUUCGGCAAUGGACGGAAGUCUGACCGAGCAACGCCGCGUGAGUGAAGAAGGUUUUCGGAUCGUAAAGCUCUGUUGUAAGAGAAGAACGAGUGUGAGAGUGGAAAGUUCACACUGUGACGGUAUCUUACCAGAAAGGGACGGCUAACUACGUG
rnacentral:rRNA from 1 species